GACGAACGCUGGCGGCGUGCUUAACACAUGCAAGUCGUACGGUAAGGCCCUUUCGGGGGUACACGAGUGGCGAACGGGUGAGUAACACGUGAGUAACCUGCCCACAACUUUGGAUAACGCUAGGAAACUGGGGCUAAUACUGGAUAUGUGCUCCUUCCGCCUGGUGGGGGUUGGGAAGCUUCGGCGGUUGUGGAUGGACUCGCGGCCUAUCAGCUUGUUGGUGGGGUAGUGGGCUACCAAGGCGGCGACGGGUAGCCGGCCUGAGGGGGUGACCGGCCACAUUGGGACUGAGAUACGGCCCAGACGCCUACGGGAGGCAGCAGUGGGGAAUAUUGCACAAUGGGCGCAAGCCUGAUGCAGCAACGCCGCGUGCGGGAUAACGGCCUUCGGGUUGUAAACCGCUUUCAGCAGGGACGAAGCUUUUUGUGACGGUACCUGCAGAAGAAGCACCGGCUAACUACGUG
rnacentral:rRNA from 1 species